UGAGGAAUCAUGCGCAAUGGGGGAAACCCUGACGCAGCAACGCCGCGUGGGUGAGGAAGGUCUUCGGGUCGUAAAGCUCUGUCAGGCGGGAAGAAAUGCAUGGAGGUGAACAGCCGCCAUGCUUGACGGUACCGCCAGAGGAAGCACCGGCUAACUCCGUGCCAGCAGCCGCGGUAAUACGGGGGGUGCAAGCGUUGUUCGGAAUCAUUGGGCGUAAAGAGCGUGUAGGCGGCUUGGUAAGUCAGAUGUGAAAGCCCUGGGCUCAACCCGGGAAGUGCAUUUGAAACUGCCAGGCUCGAGUAGGGGAGAGGGAAGUGGAAUUGCUGGUGUAGAGGUGAAAUUCGUAGAUAUCAGGAGGAACACCGGUGGCGAAGGCGACUUCCUGGCCCUAUACUGACGCUGAGACGCGAGAGCGUGGGUAGCAAACAG
rnacentral:rRNA from 1 species